rnacentral:tRNA from 1 species
GCCGGGAUGGCGGAAUUGGCAGACGCGCACGUUUCAGAGGCGUGUGGGAGCAAUCCUAUGAGAGUUCGACCCUCUCUCCCGGCA